rnacentral:rRNA from 1 species
AGGACGAACGCUGGCGGCGUGCUUAACACAUGCAAGUCGAGCGGAAAGGCCCUUCGGGGUACUCGAGCGGCGAACGGGUGAGUAACACGUGAGCAACCUGCCCUCAGCUCUGGGAUAGCUCCGGGAAACCGGAAUUAAUACCGGAUAUGACCCUGACUGACAUCGGUCAGGGUGGAAAGGAUUCCGGCUGAGGAUGGACUCGCGGCCUAUCAGCUAGUUGGUGGAGUAACGGCCCACCAAGGCGACGACGGGUAGCCGGCCUGAGAGGGCGACCGGCCACACUGGGACUGAGACACGGCCCAGACUCCUACGGGAGGCAGCAGUGGGGAAUCUUGCGCAAUGGGCGAAAGCCUGACGCAGCGACGCCGCGUGGGGGAUGAAGGCCUUCGGGUUGUAAACCCCUUUCAGCAGGGACGAAGCGAAAGUGACGGUACCUGCAGAAGAAGCGCCGGCUAACUACGUGCCAGCAGCCGCC